UUUCUGCAAGGUGGUGACCAACAGCAGUCACUAAGAAGCUUCUGGGGAGAAAAGGCCCUCAUGCCCCAGGACCUUCCACCCCAAGGACUCAGAGACACCCCAGUGCUGAGCCUCAGUGCAGCCAGAGGAGCCCGGGGCACAUGGCAGGGGCUCAGGAACUGUCCCAGAGGAAGGGCACACUGAAAAAUUCUCCAUGGUGGGUCCAGAGGACACUGCCCACCAGGCGCCACUGCAUUCCACCUGCUCCAGGAGCUGGGCUCUAGCUCAGAGGGGUUAAAGCUGGGCUGUCUGCUCCUGGCCAGCUAGAGGGUGUAAGGAUUGGCCCACAGACCAGCUUUGGUGCCCCAUCUAGGGAGAGGUGGUCUGUUCUGGACACCCUGAACAUUUCUGACUUAGGAGGGACACUUGCAUCUGUCUGCCAUCCUGAGAAAAGUGGUCCUAGCUGCCACUGGUGCUAGGUUGGGGGAGCUGGAUUCAGAAAAUAAAGCAGUGCUAUGAAUCUCCCUAAGCACAUCCUAAAAUUGAUCUCCUCAGGUAUGUCCUGAACACCAGGGAGAGCAGUCUGAUUGGAGAAGUUUCCAGCUGAUUGUCUUCUCCUUAAGGCCCUUGAAAUGUGGAGUGCCAUGGCACACGCCUGUAAUCUCAACUCCCCUGGAGGCUGAGGCAGGAUGGCAAGUUUGGGGCAAACUUGGGCAACAUGGUUUUAUAUAGCCCGUGGGCGCUCCGUCCACGCCGCCCCGCAGGAAUGUCGCUGCCCUUCUCAAGCCAUAUUUGGGUGUUGGACACUAGAGUCCCUUCCUUCAGCUGGUUCUCCGAAUGGGCCCCGCCCGGAUCCUCUGCACUGACCAAAGAAGGAGCAGGCUGGCCCUGGCCCAGGUAACUCGGACCAGGCCGUAUAUGGAGUGUCUCCCCAGCGGGCUGCCCCUCCCGACCCGCCCAGUUGCCUGCCAGAGUUGGGUGGGGCAAGGGCCCCUGCACACCCUCGGGGCUGGUUAGCACCCCUGCUCUGAAGCUGCACCUGUUUCAAGGCCUCCCUGCAGUCUACCUCACAUCCACUGGGCACUCCAAAGGUGCUGACAGCUGACCUCCUGCUCCCCUCCCCUCUCAGCUCUCUCCCAGGCCCCAUGCUGCUGCAGGCAGCUUCCUGAGGAGCUUGGCAGCCAGGUGGGCUCAGAGGGGAGCCCUCCAGGCAGGGAAGGAAGGGAGCCCUCCAGGAAGGGAAGGAAAGGAGCCCUCCAGGCAGGGAAGGAAGGGAGCCCUGCCAGAUAACCCCCUCCCUCCCCAAUCCAGAGGCUCAACCGGGACAGCCCCUCCCCACCCUGGAGGCCACCGAGGGGAGGGAGUGGGGAGGGCAUGCAGCUGUUGCAAUUGGCGUGCAGGGCGGAGCAGUGGAAGGAGGUGGGGCUUGGCAACAGGCCUUGAGGGAGCCGGUGGGGUGCCACAGCCCCCAGGAGCUCCUGAGGGGUGAAGGGUGGGGUGUGCACCCCCUCCUCCAGGACCCCCAACCCUGUGUGGCUGGGCUGAGCUGGCAUCCACCUCCUCAGUGGCGGCUGAGUGUGUGUCCCUUUCCUGGGGCUGAAAGAAGGGUCCUAACCUGCAACUAGCUAGGCCUGGAGGUGGAAGAAGGGUCUGUGUGGGGGGAGUGUCUUCACUGAGAGGACCCAUGCUGGACUCCCCCUCUCCUACAAGGGCUGAACAAACCCUUUAUAUUUAGAGGAUGAUGUCCACUGGCCAGGCUGCUCCCAGUCCACCUUGGAGUCACCACCUGCCAGAGCUGUGCUGGGGCUAUUUAUACCACUGAUAUAUAGGGAUCUGCCUUUUCGUUUCUAGGACUUGGAUCUGCUGUGACAAGGUGAAGCAGGGUCAGCAGAGGUCAUCAGUGGGAGCUUGGCUUCAUUUGGUGGGGGACAAGGACAGCCCAAAAGGAAGUGUUCUGUGAAGAGCUCAGUGAUGGGUGCAAGCCAGAAGGGAGGCCUUGGCUUCUGUGCAACGCAGUUCAGGCUUGGUGUGGAAGGAACAGCGAGAGUAGGAGAGUGCCCUGGUUGGGGGAGCAACCUUCCCGGAGUUGGCACAGCCAUUCAGCAGUGGGAAGGCGCCGUGGAAAGCUUUCCCAAUUACUCUGGAGAAUGGGUGACCACAUUUCACUUUUAACGCCGCGUCUGCUGGCAAGAGUAGAUGGUGGCCAGAGUGCACUGUAUGUACCUCUUAGGAGGAUGUGCUGUUUGGGCCCUCAGCAGGGCAAGGAGUCUGAAGGGGGAGUCCCUGAAAGGCAGACACUGACAGCCGUAAAGAGAGGCCCACCUGGGGCUCCACCCAUGUGACUGCUGGUUUGACAGGCUCCUGACAGUCACCCAGGCCCCCAGCCCACUCUGGUCUCUCAGUGGCCAACAGACCAGAGACUGGUGGAGGAGCACUCAGGCUCAGCCACACAGCGCAGCUCCCCUCUGCUGAGCAAGUUACUCCCACACAGGCCCCAGCUGUGGGGGAACCCAGGCCUUGCGUGUGAGGGAAGGGCUCCAACAAUACCUAUACUCUUGGCACUUUGAACACUUAUACUUUGACAGGGGCUCACCAAGGUGCCCUGGUGGGGCUCUGGAUCUUCUCCAAGGAGGAGGCAAAGGCUUCUUGAAAUGAAAACCAAGGACUUCAGGAGCAGCUGUCCCCUAGAGAAGAUACCUUCCCUCACAGGCUACCCAUCCACAAGUGUGGGGGACCGAGGCUUCAGAAGAAAAGGCCUGGUCCUUCUGGCCUCUUCCUCUUCUAUGAUGGCUACCUCCAGACUGAGGAUUCAAAUGCAGUGGGGCCCCUCUGUGCCCCUUCCCCACACCCAGUGCACUCUGGGAUCAAGCAGAUCCUGAUCUGCCUCCCCUGACUGCUAAGUGACCUUGGGGGAUGACUGUGGUGGCAGAUGGAGGUGGAAGGAGCCCAUGUCCCCGGAGCACUGUGUCAUCACAGUUAAUGUCGUGUGAACUGAAGUUUGGUCUUCUAGCCACUGACCUGUGACGGUACCUCCAACAAGCUCCUGACCUGGCUCUGACACAGGGUCGCCAAGUUCCUUCCCAACAAGCAAUGGGCGAGAGAGGGACCGCCAACUGGGCUCUGCACCACAUUUGACUUCUGACCUUCUCAGCUGUCGGGCAAGCAGCUAGUGAGACUCGCCUGGCCAAGAGUGGUUGGCCAGCAAUGCCUGCUAUUCUGCUUUUAUCUAAAGCCAGACAAUGCCCAGUGACAACUGGUUAUGUCAGAGAGCUUGGAGAAACAAACCCCAGGGGUCUCCAGCAUGGUGAAUGGUGGUGAUGAGGGCAACCACGGUGAGGACUGAAGAAACGCCACUAGCACCAGACUACCACCCACAGCGACAGCGGGGGUGGGGUGUCAGAAGACAACACCAACUGAAACUCAUUCAUUUAUGUGCAAGUUAAAAAUGCUCCCAGUGACUUAAUCAGUUAUCAAACUUGUGGGAAGCCAUUCUCGCACGUGAUUGGGCACCUCCCAGAUUGGGUGUGAGGUGUUCUGGCCAAACUGUGUCGGAGCUAUCCCCACCCUCUCCAGGUGCGAAGCCUGUCCGUGUGGGGGGUGUGACUGACCACUGAUCCUGAGGCCAAUCACCGACCCUGACCUUGGAAUGCUGCCCCCCUCGACCUUCAUUGGAUGGAAUUUUCCCCUGAAUUUCUUGUUCCCCAAUAAAAGGCCACUCCCUGGCAUGCUCUCUCUCUCCUGCUAGUCCUGAGUAAGCCUUGCUGCCCCACCAGGUGGUUCGAGGGGAGAGCUGUCUCAGACCUGGUCAUAGAAAAAGG